rnacentral:lncRNA from 1 species
GAGCCUGGUGGUUUCUAUCAGGAACAUGGGCACUUUCAGGCUGUUUGGGUGAAGGUAAGCUGCACUUUUCCAGAGGCAAAGGGACAGGAUCUAUGAAAAUGUUGUUACAUUCACACCUUAGAGAACCUCUCCCUUCAGGGAUCUAUACUAUAAGGCACUCCCCCAAGCACCUCCAAACCAGAAAUUAUGUAAAUGUCCAAAAAAGGGAAAUGAUCAAAUACAUCCAUGCAAUAAAUUGUAAUGUAGCUAUUAAGACUGAGGCAUAUUUAUAGAAACUGAUAUGAAAUGCAUCACAGAUAUAAUAUGAAAAGGUCAUGCUGGAGUGCGGUUUAUAAAUUAAAAUCCUGUUUGUGUAACAAGACACAGGAAUGUACCACUACAUGUAUACAAAAAAAGCAAAAAAGGAACGUUCAACCUUGUUUUUAGGGAGUGGCACUUUGCACUUUGUUGUAUGUUUCUCCAUGGAUCAAAUUUUGCUUAACUUCAAUUAUAUGGUUAUUAGAAGGGAAAACAAAAACAAACGGCAAAAACCUCAUGUUCUACUACUCCUAGUCCUUAAAUAAACCUCUUUUCAGAUGUCUUGGCCAAAGCAGGUAUUUUCCUACGACUUAGGAAAAGAAGUAAAAUGAGAAAAGGGAAGCAGCACAUUAAACUUUUUUUGAGACAGGGCGAGAGGCUGUCUUAGAGCACCAUUCUCUGGCCCUUGUCCCAUGAGAAGGAACCGCACUCAGGAGCCACACUCUCCCACUCCCCUUGCCCAGAAGACUCACAGAGGGCACGGAGCUGGCUGUGCUGAGAGGAGGUCCAGCAAAUUCCUGUCUGCAGAAGGGUUCUGAACACCACCGCCUGGCAGCGUGCUGGAGGAGGGAUUCCUCUUUUCCUCACAGCAAUUCUGACCAGAAACCUGUCAAAUCAGGAAUGGCUAAAAUAAGACCAGGGUAUGAAUGACCAUCAGCCACAGUAAAACCAAGGCACAGCUCUCCUGAGCCCACCCAAGCUGCUGUGGCCCAGACUGGUGACAUCUCUUGGGGCAAGAGGGGAAAGAAAGGGCAAGAUCACAUGCAGCUCCUGGGCAGACCUCCAGGAAGCAGGAGCCUGGUGCAACCUGUCUCCCCCAGGUAUCAGCCAGACAGUAUGGGUGAGGAAGAGGCUUUGGACCUCCAAGGCCAUGAUCCCACCGGGACAGUGCAGGAGCACCUCUCUGCUCGCCAGGCAGUGCUGCCUCACAAGGGCAGGUCUGAGACCCUCCCAUUCUCUCUCCGGGCCCUGGGAAGGGCAUCCUUACCAUGCCUGUAACAGGAGCAUCACUGAUUCCUGUAAGAAAGGAGUAGAGUGAGAUGCCUAACAGUAACUCCACCUGCUUCCAGAUGAAGAGUAAUGCCACACCCAUCCUUUCUAGGACAUCCAGAAAGUCUAGACAAAUAAGCAACUUACUGAAGGUCAUGUGACUCGUCCAUGGCCAAUCUGUGACUAAUAUGCAAGGGGGACCCUCUGAACUGCCCAGAACACCUGAUUCCCUUGGCAGCAGGUAUGUGCUCCCCAAGGGAACCAGCUCACUCUCCUACUCACAACCACCCUGAUUGCCUCAGCAGCAGGUAUGUGCUUCCUGAGGGGACCAG